CUGGCAAUGAAAGCGUAGAAGGGGAUUUUACUGCAGGGAGGUGUUGAAAAGAGACCCCAGGCCUAGAUCACAUCUUGAUUGAAGCCUUAUGGAAGCCCUUGAAGCAGAGAACACAGCUAUCUGAUUUUGCCAGCAGCACAUCCUGAAAAGACCAGCCAUCUCUGCAGUGUGGAAAGGAGGAUCUCUCUCUGUCACCUAGUCCGGAGUACCGUGACACAGCCACA
rnacentral:lncRNA from 13 species